UUUCACCCGAGAAUCAAAAUAACUCCCCACUCCUUAGUCCCCCUCAACUGUCUUCUUCUCUUUUUCUUCGACCAUGUAUCUCAGAAAAACAAACACCGAUACUUUAAACCUCUCUAGACGUAAAAUAAAUGUUGCAGGUUCGAAUUGAAGAAAUCAAACAAUUUCUUUAUUUUGCUGGAAUGCUUCAUUGACCUAUACCUCGGGUUGUAUGUCCGACAAGAUGGAAAUAAAAUUUUCUACUUGUUCCUUUAAUUUUCUGAGCGCGUGAUCUGUGUUUGAGGAAAUUACAAACUGAAAUUCGGAUUAUAUUUUGUGGUAAAUCAAUCCAGUUCAUUACAUAGAACAAGGACAAAGAAUUCUGAUUGUGUUAAUCCAUGAGUUAUUGGGAUUCGGAUGGAGCGAUAAACCAUUUAUCAAGGAUGAUGCAAUGGUAUUAGAAAGGGUUGAAUGCAUUCCUAGAUCACGCCUACAUCCAAGGUAAUCUCAGGUGGCAGAUGAUCAGAAGCCUGGGAGGAUGAGCAUAAUAACCACAGGCCGAUGAGAUGGAGCUGGUCUUAUAUGUUGGUGGCGACAUAGAGAGAUUAAACCCCGAGGAAGAACAAUGGGAAUUAGUUAAAGAGCUUAGAGUUCCAAAAAUACAAUCCUGAUUCUCAAGGCUCUCUAAAUUUCUUGUACACAUAUCAACACCAGACUUGCAGUUGCAGGAACAAUUGGAGGCAUGGACCCGGAGUAUAUUAUACGAGGAACAUCCACUAACAAAAUGAUGUAUACAACUUCGAAGUGGUGGCCCUAGAGCUUAUGACUGGAAACGACAGAUUGCAGUGGAAAAUGAAGCUUGAAGCUACUUAUAGAUUCAGUAAGUUCAUACUCCUUGGCGUCGGUACUGAUGUGACGAAUUACUUGCCAAAUCUCCAGUGAGCUGAUGCUCAAGGCUCUCUAAUUUCAUUAAAUUUAUGUUAGGCGAAAAAGAAUUUCACUCGAUAAAUCUGAAGGGGCAAUAACUAAGUAUUAUUUGCGGUGAAAUUCAGGAAAAUACCCUUAAAGCUGCUGGGAGGUCUAGUGGUGGCAGUAGAAAAUCCUAGGAUGCACCUCUUGACUAUAAAGUAAAUGAAGCAAGUACGUAUGGAGAACUCGGGCAAACGCAAUCUUGAUUAAAGUAAAUUUACCCACGUAAUCUUGAUUAAAUAAAUUUACCCCUAAAGUUGUUCCUUUUCUAGUACCUCUUGUCAAUCAUGAUUUUGUUUCGUUUCAAUAUCAAGAAUUGGCGAUUGUAUAAUUUGACUUAGUAGCUUACUUGUGUUUUAAAUUUAUGUAUUUUAUUUUCAUUAAUAAAUGAAUGAAAGCUUUUAAUAUUU